rnacentral:lncRNA from 1 species
AGAAGUGGUGAUCCAGGCAGGAAGUGACAUAGCAAGGAGACUCAUAUUUAAGUGAAGGAGAAACAGGAAGGGCCCGUUUUUCCUGUUUGCCUCCUCCAGCAGCAGGAUGUGAUCCACCGGCAAGGAGGGACGCCAAAAAGGCAUCCGAUAAGUGCUUUAUCUAUCAACCAAUAAGACAAACAUAUACAAAGAAAGGCUUCCCCUAUCAGAAGAGUAGAGGAAUACCUCAGAGCCGCUUCUCUCCCUUCACCAUUGAAAAUUUCCUAAAUGAUUUAGUCAAUUCCAGGAAGCAAUCAAAUAUAUAUUCUGUAGGUGAUAUUUCUUUGGGGAUUUGUGUUCUUAUAUGAUUUCAAUAUUGACUGUGUGUGUGUG